UAGAAAUUGAUAUUUAAACAAAGCGGCUAAAUUUAAAGAGGAUAAUAUUUCCAAGAGCUGUACGCGCAGCUUUUUUCUAUUAAAAAAAUUGUCACACAAAAAUGUUAUAGUCAUGUUGAUUUGUGUGUUUUUGUACGUUUCUUUUCGUUAAAUAAUUUUCGUUUUUGAGCCAAAGAAUAAGGUAGGUACCGUUAGAACUCCGAAAAUGCAUUUUAGCGCAUUGUUUGACAAUAUCGAAAGUUAUAAAAAAACACGAACGACAAUUACGAUACUGCGGAAUACAAUUCAUUAACAUCAAAAAAGGUGUAAUAUGUUUCGUGUUUGCUUGUUCGAUACAAACUGUUAAUAAAAACUGUAAUUUUUUUACAAAGUAAGAUUUUUUCGAUCGACUUAAAGGACGGCAUUGAUGUUAUUGACGAUCUUAGAAUCGCGAUAAGUUUACCCGACGAUUUUGAAAUAUUCGUUCUCGGCGGUAUUUGAUUUUCCUAC